rnacentral:rRNA from 1 species
UACGGAGGAUGCAAGCGUUAUCCGGAAUGAUUGGGCGUAAAGCGUCCGCAGGUGGCAAUGUAAGUCUGCUGUCAAAGCGUCUGGCUCAACCAGAUAAAGGCAGUGGAAACUACAUAGCUAGAGUAAGGUAGGGGCAGAGGGAAUUUCCGGUGGAGCGGUGAAAUGCGUAGAGAUCGGAAAGAACACCAACGGCGAAAGCACUCUGCUGGGCCGACACUGACACUGAGAGACGAAAGCUAGGGGAGCGAAUGGG